AAAGACAGAAACCGGUGGUUAAAAAUUAUCUGUCAGGAUUCAGGUGAAAUAUACCUGUGGCAAGAGAGAUGUUAUCUGACUGACCCUCUCUUGCUCCCGUAGUU
rnacentral:sRNA from 10 species